rnacentral:rRNA from 1 species
GAUCAUGGCUCAGAGUGAACGCUGGCGGCAGGCCUAAUACAUGCAAGUCGAACGGCAGCACAGCAGAGCUUGCUCUGUGGGUGGCGAGUGGCGGACGGGUGAGGAAUACAUGGGAAUCUGCCCAGUCGUGGGGGAUAACGUAGGGAAACUUACGCUAAUACCGCAUGCGCCCUUCGGGGGAAAGCCGGGGACCUUCGGGCCUGGCGCGAUUGGAUGAGCCCAUGUCGGAUUAGCUAGUUGGCGGGGUAAUGGCCCACCAAGGCGACGAUCCGUAGCUGGUCUGAGAGGAUGAUCAGCCACACUGGAACUGAGACACGGUCCAGACUCCUACGGGAGGCAGCAGUAGGGAAUAUUGGACAAUGGGCGCAAGCCUGAUCCAGCCAUGCCGCGUGAGUGAAGAAGGCCCUCGGGUUGUAAAGCUCUUUUGUCCGGAAAGAAAAGCGCCGGGUUAAUACCCUAGUGUCCUGACGGUACCGGAAGAAUAAGCACCGGCUAACUUCGUG